GUCUAUAGCCUACCAUCCUGAGUGCACCUGAUCUUGUCUGAUCUCAGAAGCUAAGCGGGGUUGGGCCUGGUUAGUACUUGGAUGGGAGACACUAGGGUAGGACUGAGUGGAUGCAGAUA
rnacentral:rRNA from 1 species